rnacentral:rRNA from 1 species
UACGUAGGUGGCAAGCGUUGUCCGGAAUUAUUGGGCGUAAAGCGCGCGCAGGCGGUUCUUUAAGUCUGAUGUGAAAGCCCACGGCUCAACCGUGGAGGGUCAUUGGAAACUGGAGAACUUGAGUACAGAAGAGGAAAGCGGAAUUCCACGUGUAGCGGUGAAAUGCGUUAGAGAUGUGGAGGAACACCAGUGGCGAAGGCGGCUUUCUGGUCUGUAACUGACGCUGAGGCGCGAAAGCGUGGGGAGCAAACAGG